GAUCUUUAUUUUUAUUAUUUGUAAAUUAAAAAGAAUUAUAUUAUUUAUAUUUUAAUUAAAAAUUUUAUUGGGGUGAUAUUAAAAUUUAAAAAACUUUUAAAAUUAAUUGACAUAAAUAUAUGAAUAAUUGAUCCAAUUUUAUUGAUUAAAAAUUUAAGUUACCUUAGGGAUAACAGCGUAAUUUUUUUUUAGAGUUCAUAUCGACAAAAAAGAUUGC
rnacentral:rRNA from 1 species